AGCGAACGCUAGCGGCGCGCUUAACACAUGCAAGUCGCACGAGAAAGCGGGGGGCAACUCCGUGAGUAGAGUGGCGCACGGGUGAGUAACGCGUGGGUAAUCUACCCUUAAGACUGGAAUAACCCUCCGAAAGGAGGGCUAAUACCGGAUAAGACCACGGGAGGCAUCUUCCGGGGUUAAAGGGCGGGGAUCCUUCGGGAUCUGUCGCUUGAGGAUGAGCCCGCGUCCCAUCAGCUUGUUGGCGAGGUAACGGCUCACCAAGGCUAAGACGGGUAGCUGGUCUGAGAGGACGAUCAGCCACACUGGCACUGAAACACGGGGCGGACUCCUACGGGAGGCAGCAGUGGGGAAUCUUGCGCAAUGGGCGAAAGCCUGACGCAGCGACGCCGCGUGAGGGAAGAAGGUUUUCGGAUCGUAAACCUCUGUCGGGGGGGAAGAAACUCCCGGUGGCUAAUAUCCACCGGGAUUGACGGUACCCCCUGAGGAAGCAUCGGCUAACUACGUGCCAGCCGCCGCGGUAA
rnacentral:rRNA from 1 species